CUGGCGCUGCUUCUCAGUAGUCCCCGUGUAACGUUACUCGUCGGCCAGAGUCGGGCGAAGUAGUAACGCCACAAAGGAAGAUGUGCGCAAGCGUAACGCUGGCCUGGUGAAAGGAACAGUUUUUCUGCCAAGAAGGAAACAUCGUUGCUGGGCUACAUUGCUGUCGAAACGACGGCCAUUUUCCAGAGAAGACAUCCUGAAGCAAGUCACCCGAUCCUGCAUUACUAAUGAUGCCAAACGAAAAUGAUCUUACUCUGAAAUUGAACGUUGUAUUCAGUUCAAGCUCAGCUAUGGGCACCUUUAGUUGGAAGCUACUGGUGCAUUUCAUUACUGUUUGAGACGUGGCGAUAUUAUCUGUGCGUUUGUGUGAAAGUCAUGUAAUAAUGAUUUAAAAAGUAAACAAAAGUGUUUGGAAAUA